GUGCUUGCUGUGGAAGCACAUAUACUAAAAUUGGAAUGAUACAGAGGUUAGCAUGGCCCCUGUGCAAAUGCUAUGUUCAUAUUUUCCAUAUGAUAAAGCCUUUAUUU